UACGUAGGUGGCUAGCGUUGUCCGGAUUUACUGGGCGUAAAGAGCGCGCAGGCGGUCGUUCAAGUCGAGUGUGAAAGCCCCCGGCUCAACUGGGGAGGGUCACUCGAUACUGAUCGACUUGAAGGCAGGAGAGGGAAGCGGAAUUCCCGGUGUAGUGGUGAAAUGCGUAGAUAUCGGGAGGAACACCAGUGGCGAAGGCGGCUUUCUGGCCUGUUCUUGACGCUGAGGCGCGAAAGCUAGGGUAGCAAACGGG
rnacentral:rRNA from 1 species